AGUUGUACCAUUUACGAUGGAUGUAUCUCUUAAAGCAAGAGCAUAAAACAUUGUUAAAUAGCCAUUUUCCCCUUAGCUUUCUUAGUCACUCUUAAUCACAAAAGACAAACUUUUGUAUUAACUUGUGAAGUAGUAUCUGAGUUGCUUUUUAGUAGUGUCUACAUAACUGAUCUUUUGUAUCUGAAUAUUUGUACAAUUAAUCAGCUUGUUCGUAAAUUGUUGGCACUUUUCUUUGGCAAAAUUGUUGUUUCUCUUAUGACUUGCAUUGUCAGAGGUAGUGCAGGCUUUUCCUCUGAGACCCCUUUCCAGCAACAGUCAAUAACUGCUAGACCAGUUUAAACUUGUUAGGCAGCAAGUGCUUUUGGCUUAGUUUAGUUUUUGUUUUGUUUUGCUUUGCUCUCCUCCUUUUUAAAUAUUUUAUGAGGAAUGACACUUUCAGAGGAGGUGACUGCUACUUUUAUGACAUAACUUGCCUUUCUACAUAAUUGAGCCUCCCAGGGCCAACUACCAUUAGCACACCACUUACUGGCACGUUGGAUACAAAAGUAACUCAUACCCACAAAUAAUUCCAUGUUUGAGAUGUAGAUGUCCAGCAUCUUCCAUCCAAGAGAAUAUCAUUUCCAUAAUUUUAUAUUAUAUAAAGUAUUUGAGAACUGUGUCACAUAAGUAGUUUACUUACGGUUUUUAUCAUGUGUCAAAAUGUAUGCCUCAUUUGACUCUUUUAAAGGUUUGAUUCCACAGCAAAAAUUACUGAUGCUAAGAGUAAGGCGGUUGAAGUUGAGUUUCCUUCCUUUGUGUAUCUAUGAUGCUGCCUUCCAGGAUGCCAAUGACAGUGUAUGGCAGUGGUAAGCCAACCAUGUUACCAGGGGUACUGCAUUCAUUCUUUUACUCAACAAAUAUCAUGGACCAUUGUAAUGCAGCCACUGUUUCAAGUAUUGCAUUACUUAGAUACAGGGACUAACUAUGCAGUUAUCAAGAUGGAUGGCAAUUAACAAAGCAGUGAACAGAAUAGAUAAAAUAUCUUCCAUCACAAAGCUUAUAUUUCACUCCACUAAAAUUUUGCCUGACCGUUUCUAUUUCUCUGGAUGUAGGAACCUUAUUUAUUGCACGUAAGACGUUAUUAAUAAUCAUUUUAUUGGUGUUAUGCACGUAGUAAGCACCAGAUUGUCAUCUCUUGAUUAAAUAGUAAUGAUAAUAUUUCAUUUGGCAAUGUAAGUACUUGCAAUUCUGGAUUUUUUUAUUGAUCUAAAUAAAUCCUCUUAUUGUGUUUUCUCAUUUACAAUAUGUAGUUCCCUAAAAACAAAAUAAUAAUGAUAAAAAAGUGCUUCAUAUUUUGAAACUGAGGAAAGUUAAGAUAAUUCAACUGAGGAAGGAAUUAACUAAAGUUAAGAGAAUUAAAGUCAGAGAAUUAUAUUGACUCUAUUAAACAGAUUAUGAGUUCAGAACCAAAAUGCUAGCUGUAACAAUUUGGCCCUUUUUUAUGUGAAAGGUGUAUUGUGUUCUUUCAAAUGGGAUGAAAUGGUAUUUUGCUCUGUGUAGCUUUUUGCUCUGCAUAGUUUUAAUGCCUUCUUGGGAACUAAACACACAGGCACACACAGAUGCACACACAUCAUUCCUGUACCAGUUUACACACACAUGAAAACACAAUACCCACACAUGCGAUUAUAGUGACCCUCCCAUUUAGAUAUUGAUUAUUAAUUACUAAGGCAGGAUAACCGUGAAAUAAAUUAAUUGUGGUUUAAUCUCUAUUUUCAUGUUUAUAAUGUUGACUGUUUUCUACAUAAAUGAUUGUAAUUCUUUUUAAAUGUAUCAAAAGUUUCCUUUGGCUUUGUAAAUUGAGUGAAUGGAACAAUUGUUCUUUCUGCUUACACAGAGAAACAACUUUGUAAAAAAAAAAAAAAAAAAAA
rnacentral:lncRNA from 1 species